GAAAUAUAAAAAAUUAAGCUUCUAACUUAAAAUAUAGCAAUUAUGUUAAUAUUUCU
rnacentral:tRNA from 1 species